UACGUAGGGGGCAAGCGUUGUCCGGAUUUACUGGGCGUAAAGAGCGUGUAGGCGGCCACGCAGGUCCGUUGUGAAAACUGGAGGCUCAACUUCCAGCCGUCGACGGAAACCGUGUGGCUAGAGUCCGGAAGAGGAGAGUGGAAUUCCUGGUGUAGCGGUGAAAUGCGCAGAUAUCAGGAGGAACACCCGUGGCGAAAGCGGCUCUCUGGGACGGUACUGACGCUGAGACGCGAAAGCGUGGGGAGCAAACAGG
rnacentral:rRNA from 1 species